UACGUAGGGGCCUAGCGUUGUCCGGAUUUAUUGGGCGUAAAGAGCUCGUAGGCGGUUCGGCAAGUCGGAUGUGAAAUCUCCACGCUUAACGUGGAGGGGCCAUUCGAAACUGCCGUGACUCGAGUCCGGUAGGGGAGUGUGGAAUUCCUGGUGUAGCGGUGAAAUGCGUAGAUAUCAGGAGGAAUACCUAUGGCGAAAGCAGGUAUCUGGGCCAUCACUGACGCUGAGCUGCGAAAGCUAGGGGAGCAAACAGG
rnacentral:rRNA from 1 species